AGGUUAAGCUAGAAAGGGCGCACGGUGGAUGCCUUGGCACUAGGAGCCGAUGAAGGACGGGGC
rnacentral:rRNA from 1 species